GACGAACGCUGGCGGCGUGCCUAAUACAUGCAAGUAGAACGCACAGAUUAUACCGUAGCUUGCUACACCAUAACCUGUGAGUUGCGAACGGGUGAGUAACACGUAAGUAACCUGACUGGUAGCAGGGGGUAACUAUUGAGCACGUACGCUAAUAUCUCAUAAUAUUAAUUAUUGCAUAGUAAUUGAUUGAAAUGUUCAAUUUCAUCGCUACCAGCUGGCCCUGCGUUGUAUUAGCUAAUAGGUGAGGUAACGGCUCACCUAAGCGACGAUACAUAUCCGACCCUAGAGGGGGAUCGGCCAAACCGGGACCGAGACACCGCCCAAAAUUCCUCGGGAGGCAGCAGUAGGGAAUCUUCGGCAAUGGACGAAAGGCUGACCGAGCAACGGCGCGUGAGUGAAGAAGGGUUUCGGAUUGUAAAGCUUCUGUGUAAGGGAAGAACGGGAGGGAGAGUGGAAAGUUCACACUGUGACGGUAUCCUACCAGAAAGCGACGGCUAACUACGUG
rnacentral:rRNA from 1 species